rnacentral:piRNA from 1 species
UAUUUACUUCUUGGAUAUGUG